rnacentral:rRNA from 1 species
ACGGAGGGUGCGAGCGUUAAUCGGAAUUACUGGGCGUAAAGCGUACGUAGGCGGUUAUUUAAGUGGGAUGUGAAAGCCCCAGGCUCAACCUGGGAACUGCACCCCAAACUGGGUAACUAGAGUAUGGCAGAGGGGUGUGGAAUUUCCUGUGUAGCGGUGAAAUGCGUAGAUAUAGGAAAGAACAUCAGUGGCGAAGGCGACACCCUGGGUCAAUACUGACGCUGAGGUACGACAGCGUGGGGAGCAAACAGG